rnacentral:rRNA from 1 species
CAGUAGCCGCGGUAAUACGUAGGUGGCGAGCGUUGUCCGGAAUCAUUGGGCGUAAAGGGAGCGCAGGCGGGCAUGUAAGUCUUUCUUAAAAGUUCGGGGCUCAACCCCGUGAUGGGAAAGAAACUACAUGUCUUGAGUACAGGAGAGGAAAGCGGAAUUCCCAGUGUAGCGGUGAAAUGCGUGGAUAUUGGGAGGAACACCAGUGGCGAAGGCGGCUUUCUGGACUGCAACUGACGCUGAGGCUCGAAAGCCAGGGGAGCGAACGGGAUUAGAUACCCCCGUAGUCCCUGUCUCUUAUACA